AUUCCAGCUCCAAUAGCGUAUAUUAAAGUUGUUGCAGUUAAAACGCUCGUAGUCGGAUUUCGGGGCGAUCCCGCCGGUCUGCCGUUGGGUAUGCACUGGUGGGCGCGUCCUUCCUUCCGGAGACCGUUCCUACUCUUAGCUGAGCGGGGACGGGAGACGGAUCGUUUACUUUGAAAAAAUCAGAGUGUUUCAAGCAGGCAUUUGCUCUUGCAUGGAUUAGCAUGGGAUAAUGAAAUAGGACUUUGGUGCUAUUUUGUUGGUUUCGAACACCGAAGUAAUGAUUAACAGGGACAGUCAGGGGCACUCGUAUUCCGCCGAGAGAGGUGAAAUUCUCAGACCAGCGGAAGACGAACCACUGCGAAAGCAUUUGCCAGGGAUGUUUUCAUUG
rnacentral:rRNA from 1 species